AUCUCGCAGAAAUUGUUCAACUUUUCACAACGCAGUCGAUAAAAUAGUCAUUUCUCCCCUCCGCUGAUACAUCGGAAGCCUUUGUUGUGAAAAUCUUUGUGUUUAUCUCGGGAAGAAAAGUUGGAAAUUGCUCUUUCUUGGGUAACUUGUGGCCCGCGCUACGAUCUGGUUACAAACAACACCCUCGAAA